rnacentral:lncRNA from 1 species
GAAUCCCAUUGGGCCUCCCCAGAUCCCAUGGGGUGACCCCAAAACCCAUGGGGUGACCCCGACUCCCAUUGGGCCUCCCCAGAUCCACUUGUUGUCCCCAAAUCCCCUGGGGUGUCCCCAAAUUCCAUGCGGUGUCCCCAAGCCAUGGGAUGUCCCCAACCCCAUGGCGAUGUCCCCAACCCAACGCGAUGUCCCCAACCCAUGGAGAUGUCCCCAACCCAGCGCAAUGUCCCCAGCCCCAUGGCGAUGUCCCCAUCCCAAGGAGAUGUCCCCAACCCAACACGAUGUCCCCAACCCCAUGGAGAUGUCCCCAACCCAACGCGAUGUCCCCAACCCAACGCGAUGUCCCCAACCCAUGGGAUGUCCCCAGCCCCAUGGGAUGUCCCCAACCCCAUGGAGAUGUCCCCAACCCACUUGGUGUCCCCAGCCCCACGGCGAUGUCCCCAACCCAUGGCGAUGUCCCCAACCCAAUGCAAUGUCCCCAACCCAACGCAAUGUCCCCAACCCAAUGCGAUGUCCCCAGCCCCAUGGGAUGUCCCCAACGCCAUGGAGAUGUCCCCAACCCACUUGGUGUCCCCAGCCCCACAGCGAUGUCCCCAACCCAUGGCGAUGUCCCCAACCCAAUGCAAUGUCCCCAACCCAACGCAAUGUCCCCAACCCAAUGCGAUGUCCCCAACCCAUGGGACGUCCCCAACCCCAUGGAGAUGUCCCCAACCCAUGGAGAUGUCCCCAACCCAACAAGAUGUCCCCAACCCCAUGGAGAUGUCCCCAACCCAACACGAUGUCCCCAUCCCAAGGAGAUGUCCCCAACCCCAUGGGAUGUCCCCAUCCCAAGGAGAUGUCCCCAACCCAUGCAGAUGUCCCCAACCCCAUGGAGAUGUCCCCCACCCACGGCAAUGUCCCCAACCCAGUUGGUGUCCCCAGCCCCACGGCGAUGUCCCCAACCCACCUGGUGUCCCCAACCCCACCCCAUUGCUUGAUGUCCCCCCCUCCCCACCGUGCAGGUUGGGUCGGGGUGGGGUUGCGGGACGGGGCCCCCCCCGAUGCCCCACUGCGAGGCUGCGCCCAGGCCCUGCUCCUGGAGGAGCUCCUGGGUCCCGACCUCCCCCCGGGGGCACCCAUGGGUGCCGCCCUGCGCCCGCUGCAGCAGCGCCUGCGCCGAUGCC